AGUGAACGCUGGCGGUAGGCCUAACACAUGCAAGUCGAACGGCAGCAUAGUAAGAGCUUGCUCUUACGGGUGGCGAGUGGCGGACGGGUGAGGAAUACAUCGGAAUCUACUUUUUCGUGGGGGAUAACGUAGGGAAACUUACGCUAAUACCGCAUACGACCUACCGGUGAAAGCAGGUGAUCUUCGGACCUUGCGCGAUUGAAUGAGCCGAUGUCGGAUUAGCUAGGUGGCGGGGUAAAGGCCCACCACGGCGACGAUCCGUAGCUGGCCUGAGAGGAGAGUGACCCCCACGGGAACUGAGAACGGGUCCAGACUCCAACGGGAGGCAGCAGUGGGGAAUAUUGGACAAUGGGCGCAAGCCUGAUCCAGCCAUACCGCGUGGGUGAAGAAGGCCUUCGGGUUGUAAAGCCCGUUUGUUGGGAAAGAAAAGCAGCAGGUGAAUACCCCGCUGUUCUGACGGUACCCAAAGAAUAAGCACCGGCUAACUUCGUG
rnacentral:rRNA from 1 species